ensembl:lncRNA
GAUGGUUAACCCACUGAGCAAGGGCAGGGACCGAACCCGCAACCUCAUGGUUCCUCGUCGGAUUCGUCAACCACUGCACCACAACGGGAACUCCGAUAUUUCAGUUUUAAUGUGGAUAUAAUACAGGUUUUUUAAAAGAAAUUCAUGAUUGUAGUAAAAAACAUAUAGAAGAGUCUAAAAGUAUCACAUAGUAUCUCUCGAUUUGUUGUCCAGUUUGAAAAUAUGGCAUUUAAAAACUAAUUUGUGUUUGUGUAUAUGAUUAGGAUAAUAUAUUUCAUACACACGCAUAUGUAUAUAAAUUAUUUUUUACAAUUGGCAUGAAAGUCACAAUGUUCCCUUUUAUUCAGGGUAAUCAUAAGUACAAAAAGCAUCUUUUAAUAUUCAUCCUAUAGUUUUGAGGUUCUCAGAGGCUAACAUGCUUCCUUCAGGGAUUAUUAUGGCUUUUAUUAAAAUGUGGUAGGUACAUCAGACAAUACUUCUUUUGGACACCAUGAAGAAUAAAAUAUAAAAUAAAGCAUUAUUUUAAAAUGCUUUAAUGACAAUGAUUAUAAAAUAAUCAUACAUGAAGUAGGCUUGCUUUAAGUGGUAUUUUUCCUUAAAUUGAUUGUUAAAUUUUUAGUGAAGCAAUGCCAAGUAGACACUUACAGACUCUGCAACUCACUAUGUCUAAAAUGUGAUAUUGACAUCUAGAAACUUGGAACAGCUACUGGCUAAUUCAUUUCCUAAGGGCUUAUCUAUAGAUUUUUAGGAAAGGUAACAAUAUGAUGCUAAGUAAGUAUCAAGAUACCCAAAUUCUCACGGCCAAAAAAAUCCACUAUGCUGAGUCAAAACAGAUGUCAAACAUCACUUCCCAGUGACCUCCCCGCAAAAUUCCUUGAGAAAUUAUACACCUGCAUAUUUUGUAAUCUGACAUUUCUCUAAAAUGACUUACAUGCUGAAAAGCUUUUGAGAUAGGAACAAAUCCUUUCUCACUAUUCCCUGUGUUCCAUUUUUGCAAAUGCGUUUGUUUACUCUAGUCAGACUUAGUACAAGGAAGAUGAAAAAUAAUAUAUUAUCUAAAUUGACACCUCAACUGUACCUGAAAAAAGUUCAAACAUACCUGUUACAAAGGGCCUGAUAAUUGAAAGGACUCAUAAGCCUCCAUAGGAAGUACUAACUAAAAGCUUUAAUAAAAGUAAAGAGCACAGAACAGCAGGAAAAAUGAGAAAAUACCAUCACAGAGGGUUUAACGGUUCCAGGGGCGGUCUAUGUACGUUUCUCAAUUGCAGAUGUUCUUGGUCUUUAGCUUAUAAACCAACAAUAAACACAUGUAUAAGGCAUCUUGUUCAGGGUUGCUCAUUCAAAAAAAAAGCUUUUUUCAUUUUUUGUUUGUUUAUUUGUUUUUACAUCCUACUGGUUACAUAGCUAAGGCCAGGCUCUAUAGGUUGAAUCAAGUAUAAACCAUCAAUCAUUUCCAAACAAUGUAGGUAAUUUGGUACUGGGCAUCAGUAGUGGAGUUUCAAACUGUAAACUGCACUUUAUCAAUAACUAACACAUCUUUGUUCUUAUCAAAUGUCAGUACCAGACUUCAGGCAUUCCUGC